AAAGUUUUCAAUACCUUGCCGUACAUGUCUGUACCAUGCCCACCACCCCUAACAGUGAAAACCUAAUAAACUAUGGGAAAUUUGUCGGUAUAAUCUCCCCCUAAAAGGCAAUCCCUUGAACAAAGUUCUCCCACAAUUGAUUCCAAAAGCCCAAGGCCCCUGGACCCACUUGUUUCAAUCACCUUGUGGCCUGACCACCAUCUGGCCCCACCAGAAUCACCAGCCAUCACAAGAUGAUGAAAAAACUUUUCCUACCCAUUAACUUCUCUCCACGUGUCGCCCUUGGAUUCUUCCCCACUUGAU
rnacentral:misc_RNA from 1 species